rnacentral:rRNA from 1 species
AUGGCGACCGGCGCACGGGUGAGUAACACGUAUUCAACCUGCCGAUGACUCGGGGAUAGCCUUUCGAAAGAAAGAUUAAUACCCGAUGGCAUAGUUCUUCCGCAUGGUAGAACUAUUAAAGAAUUUCGGUCAUCGAUGGGGAUGCGUUCCAUUAGCUUGUUGGCGGGGUAACGGCCCACCAAGGCAUCGAUGGAUAGGGGUUCUGAGAGGAAGGUUCCCCACAUUGGAACUGAGACACGGUCUAAACUCCUACGGGAGGCAGCAG